rnacentral:rRNA from 1 species
CGGCACGCUUAACACAUGCAAGUCGCACGAGAAAGGGGGCAACCCUGAGUAAAGUGGCGCACGGGUGCGUAACACGUAGAUAACCUGCCCUUUGGAGGGGGAUAACGUUCCGAAAGGAGCGCUAAUACCGCAUACAGCUGAGACCGGUUUGCUGGUCUUGGGCAAAGGUAGGGACCCGCAAGGGCCUAUCGCCGAAGGAGGGGUCUGCGGCCCAUCAGCUAGUUGGUAAGGUAAUGGCUUACCAAGGCAGAGACGGGUAGCUGGUCUGAGAGGAUGAUCAGCCACACUGGUACUGGAACACGGACCAGACUCCUACGGGAGGCAGCAGUGGGGAAUCUUGGUCAAUGGGCGCAAGCCUGAACCAGCGAUGCCGCGUGAGUGAUGAAGGCCUUCGGGUUGUAAAGCUCUGUGGGGAGGGACGAAAGAAUCGGUUCUAACAGGACCGACGUUGACGGUACCUCCUUAGCAAGCACCG